AUUGAACGCUGGCGGCAUGCUUUACACAUGCAAGUCGAACGGCAGCACGGACUUCGGUCUGGUGGCGAGUGGCGAACGGGUGAGUAAUACAUCGGAACGUACCCAGUAAUGGGGGAUAACUAUCCGAAAGGAUAGCUAAUACCGCAUACGCCCUACGGGGGAAAGAGGGGGAUCGCAAGACCUCUUGUUAUUGGAGCGGCCGAUGGCUGAUUAGCUAGUUGGUGAGGUAAAGGCUCACCAAGGCGACGGUCAGUAGCGGGUCUUAGAGGACGAUCCGCCACACUGGAACUGAGCCACGGUCCAGACUCCUACGGGAGGCAGCAGUGGGGAAUCUUGGACAAUGGGCGCAAGCCUGAUCCAGCAAUGCCGCGUGCGUGAAGAAGGCCUUCGGGUUGUAAAGCGCUUUUGUCAGGGAGCAAAAGGUGGUGGCUAAUAUCCAUCGCUCUUGAGAGUACCUGAAGAAUAAGGACCGGCUAACUACGUGCCAGCCGCCGCCGUAACAC
rnacentral:rRNA from 1 species